ACAGCAGCCGCCACGGGAAUACAGAGGGUGCGAGCGUUAAUCGGAUUUACUGGGCGUAAAGCGUGCGUAGGCGGCUUCUUAAGUCGGAUGUGAAAUCCCUGAGCUUAACUUAGGAAUUGCAUUCGAUACUGGGAAGCUAGAGUAUGGGAGAGGAUGGUAGAAUUCCAGGUGUAGCGGUGAAAUGCGUAGAGAUCUGGAGGAAUACCGAUGGCGAAGGCAGCCAUCUGGCCUAAUACUGACGCUGAGGUACGAAAGCAUGGGGAGCAAACAGGAUUAGAUACCCCGGUAGUCCCUGUCUCUUAACA
rnacentral:rRNA from 1 species